CUGGAUCCAAACCUUCACCUCGUGGCUUCCCAGCUGUGGGAAGCAGGAAGCCUCUCGGGGUCUCCCUUCCUGCUUCUCCAGGGGGACAGGAAUCCUAAUCCCAUCUCAGGGGUUGUCGGGAGUCAAGGAAACGUACAUACAUGCCUGGCACAUAGUAGAUGACCAAACAAAUGUCAGCUGUGUACCCCACAGGCUGUGCCUAGAUGCCACUGGGGGCAGUUCUGGAAUGGCCCUAACCCCCAGUUUGUCGUGGGAAGAUGGAAUUCUAGCACCCAGGUGAUGCGGGUCUCCUACUUUUCACUGGGAACUGAAUUUCACUUGAACUGAAAAGUUGAAGCGCAAAAGCUGCUAUGGUAGCCGCCCAAGAUGACAUUUGUGAUUCAAAAAACAAAAUCCAGGAACACACCGAGGCAGGAAGAAAGCAUUCUGCUUUUGAUUUACGGGCUUCUCUUUCCAGGCCAACGUGAGCGGCUUCCCAGGACAUGGAAACUGGCAGGCCACUCCCGUCUGGGGACCCGCUGACAGUGCAACGCAGGGCUCUGGGCUGCUCCCUGCAAAAGCCACGCCUAAACAGGAGCCCUAAUAAUGAGCAGCCUUUCGCCUUGCCUAGGAUCGGCGGCUCCAGAGACAGGAUUAGUUCUCCAGAGGGAAGUGGAGGGGGAGACAAAUGAAGUCAUUCUGUUUGUUCAAACCCAACUUGAGAGGGAAAAUUUUGGUUUUGACUCUUCACGAGGGUGAGAGUCACACCAUGGAACCACCGCAGCCACUUCACUGUAUUCCCCUCUGCUGGCGGCUGACCAUUAAGAGAUGGAGUGCUGCUGUCGCGACCAACUUGUGUUUGACCGAGUGAUGGAAGCAACUACACAGGAUCUCACUGAUGGCCUGACCUCGCUCGGACAGAGAAGCAUUUUCUCCUGGGUGCAGGCGGAGGAGGGCGCAUGAUUUUGUCGAGAGGCUGAGAUGAAAAGGCAGGAGAUGGAGAAUGUACAGAUUAGGAUCUCAUCAUCCUUGGGAUGUCAGCUGACCUCAAAAGGCAAAUGACAGCAGAGAGGUCAGAGGAUGGGAGAACCCAGGGAAGGUAACCAACCUCGAGAGAAUUCUCACUUGGAUAUUGAGCAGAUGAAGACAGUCUAGAUGGCCAUGAAAUAAGACAAAAACAGCAGAACUUUUUCCCGAAACCCUUGCCAAUAUGAAAGACCAGAACAUAUAACUACUAUAAUAACGGUGGCACAGAACAGUCUGCAUGUUUGAACAAAACGAAGAGCUUUUUCGUCCUGUUAUAUGAAACGUAUGAACUCAAUUAGCUUAGUACAAUUUUUAAAAAAGAGAGAGCUGUCAGUGAAAUUCAAAGCAUUAUAAAUGAUUUCCAUUUAUCAUUGUUGAUUACUUGUUAUCUAUGCCAAGGUGGCAUUUCUGGGUACUUUGCGUAGGAUCUAUUUACUUACUACAUAAUUAGGUAACCAACAAAUGCUUUCAGGUAAUGAGAGGAAACUCGGGAGUAAAAGACUUAAGAACAAAAAGAGAACUUAAUUCCUCCAAACAAGUUGUGGUAGGAACUCAAACAAUGAGGUUUAAAAUAACUGUUCUGCCAGGAACAGCCUGAGGCCAGAUGGCACCUGAAAUGGGCAUCUAUGCUCCUACUAACCAGAUUGUUUAUUCUGAACCUGCCAGCCCUCCCUCCACAGGCAACGACCAGGAUCAGGCUUCAAAUUGAGAAGGAAAAUGUCUGUAGGUGUAUUGGCAAAGUAUUUCCAGAUAAGUGCAUUUUUCCCCUCUGUCCUUGGAUGCCUACUAUCUUUAUUUUAGGCAAAGUGAAGGGUUUUCUUUCUGUGUUUUUUCUUGCAUUUAAAAAAAAAAAACACACACAUCUAAAAUGUAUGCUCACAAAUGCUCAUUGAAUUGCUGAUGCCAACGUUUGAAAUCAAAGGUACUUCCUUAAUUUAAAAUUAAGUGAUUAAGAUGAAUAAGGCAGUUUAAGUUCUUCUCUCAGAGGAUGCUGAAAGUAAGACUGGGACAAAGUUCUCUAAUAACUCUGCAAGAAAAUUAACGAAAAUAUAUCAAAGAAUUUGGUUAGCUAGUACUCAGGCACACACAUGUACAGUGUUAGCAGAAAUUACUUUAAAUUACUUUUAAUAGUGAUCCAUGGUGUGAAUGUGAUUAAUUUGGAGAUUUAAUUCUUGGUCUUUCGGGAGAUACUAACAGUUCAGCAGUAGAUUAUUCCAACAUGGUGGCUAAAAGAUUAAGGUGCACAAUGGGCGUAAAAUGCAUGGCAGUGUUUAUAGAACAAAACUGAGAAUUUGGAAGGAGGCUUAAAGAUCAUAGUCUAACCUCCUCUUCUGUGACAAAAUCAUUCUCCCAAGUCCCUGAUUGUAGGAACUUAGUUUCACUUAUAAAUUUUAGCAAUUAAAUCUAAUUUUCCACUAAAAUUUUCAAUGUGGUCUCCUUGAUUGGGAGAAGGAUGGACGGACAUAGACUGGGGCUGCACACCAGCCCUCGGAGAACUGGACACAACAGAGAGUGGGUGCAGGUCGUCUUCUCAAACUGCAUGGGAAGGCAACCAAACCAACUUCCUGGGUCUUUUUGAAUGGGGAGAAAUGACUCAUGAAUAGUGGCUCUGGAUGGCCACAACAUAAGAAACAAGGUUUUAGGAGUAAUUCCCAAGAGUGAUCGCUCUAGAACAGAGUGACAGACUGCAUACUGCCAGGCCACGCAGAGGUCACCCAGCCAAGGGCACGGCGACCCUGUGACCACCCAAAAAUGGACUGGGUAUGACUUUAUAGUCAUCUCACAUGCACACUCUUUAAAAAUAAAGGUCAAAACCUCAAUGCUGACUUUAAAUUCAUACAUCUCUUAUUCUAGCGAGAAUAGGCAUAUUUUUUAUUCCAAGGAGUCUCCUUCACUCAUUCAUUUAACAAACACGUAUUGGCGUCUACACCGAUGUAAUAGCGCUGCCGAAACCAGGUGAAUGCAGAGCGCACUGCCCAGUGAAUGAACACAAAACAUGCAUCAGUCACACACACCAGAAGGGGGCUCUAGGUAGGUCUGAUUGACGCACAGACCGU